rnacentral:rRNA from 1 species
GAAGACGCUGGCGGCGCGUCUUAAGCAUGCAAGUCGAACGGCAAGGGGAGCUUGCUCCCCCUAGAGUGGCGGACUGGUGAGUAACACGUGGGUGACAUACCUUUAGUGGGAUAGCUAUUAGAAAUAGUAGAUAAUACCGAAUGUGACCAUAACUGUUAGAGGGUUAUGAGGAAAGGAGCUAAGGCUUCGCUAAAAGAUUGGCCCGCGGCCCAUUAGCUAGUUGGUGAGGUAACGGCCCACCAAGGCGAUGAUGGGUAUCCGGCCUGAGAGGGUGAUCGGACACAUUGGGACUGAGAUACGGCCCAGACUCCUACGGGAGGCAGCAGCUAAGAAUAUUCCACAAUGGACGAAAGUCUGAUGGAGCGACGCCGCGUGGAUGAUGAAGGCCGAAAGGUUGUAAAAUCCUUUUAAACUGGAGGAAUAAUCAUGGUAGGGAAUGACCGUGAGGUGACUGUACAGUUUGAAUAAGCAACGGCUAAUUACGUG